rnacentral:rRNA from 1 species
AUUGGGUUUAAAGGGAGCGUAGGCUGGAGAUUAAGUGUGUUGUGAAAUGUAGACGCUCAACGUCUGAAUUGCAGCGCAUACUGGUUUCCUUGAGUACGCACAACGUUGGCGGAAUUCGUCGUGUAGCGGUGAAAUGCUUAGAUAUGACGAAGAACUCCGAUUGCGAAGGCAGCUGACGGGAGCGCAACUGACGCUUAAGCUCGAAGGUGCGGGUAUCAAACAGGAUUAGAUACCCUGGUAGUCCGCACAGUAAACGAUGGAUGCCCGCUGUUGGUACCUGGUAUCAGCGGCUAAGCGAAAGCAUUAAGCAUCCCACCUGGGGAGUACGCCGGCAACGGUGAAACUCAAAGGAAUUGACGGGGGCCCGCACAAGCGGAGGAACAUGUGGUUUAAUUCGAUGAUACGCGAGGAACCUUACCCGGGCUUGAAUUGCAGAGGAAGGAUUUAGAGAUAAUGACGCCCUUCGGGGUCUCUGUGAAGGUGCUGCAUGGUUGUCGUCAGCUCGUGUCGUGAGAAG